AGAGUUUGAUCAUGGCUCAGAUUGAACGCUGGCGGCAUGCCUAACACAUGCAAGUCGAACGGAAACGAUGGGAGCUUGCUCCCAGGCGUCGAGUGGCGGACGGGUGAGUAAUACUUAGGAAUCUGCCCAUUAGUGGGGGACAACAUUCGGAAACGGAUGCUAAUACCGCAUACGCCCUACGGGGGAAAGCGGGGGAUCUUCGGACCUCGCGCUAAUGGAUGAGCCUAAGUCGGAUUAGCUUGUUGGUGAGGUAAUGGCUCACCAAGGCGACGAUCCGUAGCUGGUCUGAGAGGACGAUCAGCCACACUGGGACUGAGACACGGCCCAGACUCCUACGGGAGGCAGCAGUGGGGAAUAUUGGACAAUGGGCGCAAGCCUGAUCCAGCAAUGCCGCGUGUGUGAAGAAGGCCUGCGGGUUGUAAAGCACUUUCAGUAGAGAAGAAAAGCCUACGGUUAAUAGCCGUGAGUCUUGACGUAACCUACAGAAGAAGCACCGGCUAACUCCGUGCCAGCAGCCGCGGUAAUACGGGGGGUGCAAGCGUUAAUCGGAAUUACUGGGCGUAAAGCGCGCGUAGGCGGCUUUGUAAGUCGGAUGUGAAAGCCCUGGGCUUAACCUGGGAAUUGCAUUCGAUACUGCAGAGCUAGAGUAUGGUAGAGGGAAGUGGAAUUCCGGGUGUAGCGGUGAAAUGCGUAGAUAUCCGGAGGAACACCAGUGGCGAAGGCGACUUCCUGGGCCAAUACUGACGCUGAGGUGCGAAAGCGUGGGGAGCAAACAGGAUUAGAUACCCUGGUAGUCCACGCCGUAAACGAUGAGAACUAGAUGUCGGGAGAAUCUGUCUUUCGGUGUCGCAGCUAACGCGUUAAGUUCUCCGCCUGGGGAGUACGCCGGCAACGGUAAAACUCAAAGGAAUUGACGGGGACCCGCACAAGCGGUGGAGCAUGUGGUUUAAUUCGAUGCAACGCGAAGAACCUUACCUGCCCUUGACAUAUUUUAGAACACUUUAGAGAUAGAGUGGUGCCUUCGGGAGCUAAUAUACAGGUGCUGCACGGCUGUCGUCAGCUCGUGUCGUGAGAUGUUGGGUUAAGUCCCGCAACGAGCGCAACCCUCGUCACUAGUUACUAACGGUUCGGCCGAGGACUCUAGUGAGACUGCCUUCGUAAGGAGGAGGAAGGUGAGGACGACGUCAAGUCAUCAUGGCCCUUACGGCUAGGGCAACACACGUGCUACAAUGGCCAGGACAAUGAGAAGCGAUACCGCGAGGUGGAGCAAAUCUAUAAACCUGGUCUCAGUUUGGAUUGUAGUCUGCAACUCGACUACAUGAAGCUGGAAUCACUAGUAAUCGUAGAUCAGCUAUGCUACGGUGAAUACGUUCCCGGGUCUUGUACUCACCGCCCGUCACACCAUGGGAGUUGAUUUCACCCGAAGCGGGGAAGCUAAACUGGCUACCCUCCACGGUGGAAUCAGCGACUGGGGUGAAGUCGUAACAAGGUA
rnacentral:rRNA from 1 species